rnacentral:rRNA from 1 species
UACGGGGGGAGCAAGCGGUUGUUCGGAUUUACUGGGCGUAAAAGGGCGCGGUAGGACGGCACCGCAAGUCGACUGUGAAAUCUCCGGGCUUACCCGGAAAGGUCAGCCGAUACUGCGGGGCAUAGAGUGCAGAAGGGGCAACUGGGAAUUCUCGGUGUAGCGGUGAAAUGCGUAGAUAAUCGAGAGGAACACCUGCGGCGAAGGCGGGUUGCUGGGCUGACACUGACGCUGAGGCGCGAAAGCCAGGGGGAGCAAAACGGGG